GUAUAGCUCAGCUGGAUAGAGCGUCUGGCUACGGACCAGAAGGUCGGGGGUUCGAAUCCUCUUAC
rnacentral:tRNA from 1 species